rnacentral:rRNA from 2 species
CAGCAGCCGCGGUAAAACCAGCACCUCAAGUGGUCAGGAUGAUUAUUGGGCCUAAAGCAUCCGUAGCCGGCUCUGUAAGUUUUCGGUUAAAUCUGUACGCUCAACGUACAGGCUGCCGGGAAUACUGCAGAGCUAGGGAGUGGGAGAAGUAGACGGUACUCGGUAGGAAGUGGUAAAAUGCUUUGAUCUAUCGAUGACCACCUGUGGCGAAGGCGGUCCACUAGAACACGUCCGACGGUGAGGGAUGAAAGCUGGGGGAGCAAACCGGAUUAGAUACCCGUGUAGUCCCAGCUGUAAACUAUGCAAACUCAGUGAUGCAUUGACUCGUGGCCAAUGCAGUGCUGCAGGGAAGCCGUUAAGUUUGCCGCCUGGGAAGUACGUACGCAAGUAUGAAACUUAAAGGAAUUGGCGGGGGAGCAC